UGCAUCUCCAUGAGCUGGGCCCAGCCGGCAGUUGCCAUGGAUACUCUGGGUGCUGACACUAGGAGGACUGAGUAGACACUGCUUGUUUAAGACACAAAUCAUAACAAAGGAUUAGAGGCACAAAGUAACCCCGCGGGGUUCUGUGAGAUACACCUCGUCCUCAUCACACAGGCACUAUAAUUAGCUGUGUGGGUGUAUGCUUGUGUGAAGGUGGAGAUCAUGGUGUUUAUUCAAAGCAUUUUACUUUGUAAAAUAGAAUGAGUUCAAGCCCAAGAACAUCAAGAAGAAGAAGAUGAGUAUUAUCAUGUCUGUGGACGAAAACAGAAGGUAAGGGGGGCGGGGGUCUCAACGAUAGGAGAUGGAUUGGGGCGUGUGGCUAUGUGGGGUUUAUUUCGGAUAAUCUUUGAAGAGGGUUUGUAUGAACGCUGUCUGUUGGUGAUAAGUGUGUGUCGGGAUGGGAUGGGGAUGUUUUGGUAUCUACAGGGAUAACAGCAACAGCACUUGACUGUAUCGUGCUGCCAGGGAGCUAGCAUGUUGCACUUCUUUAGGCUGUGUUACGUAGGACUGACACACACACAGUGAUACGGCUGCUUCUUGCCAACAGGAAACUGUGAUAUGAUAAUGACAUGUAUUGAGGUCAGCUGGCCCUGUUCCUUACAAGAAGGAGCAGGAUGAUUCCCACAGCAGCAACAUUAUCCAGGUCACCAACCAAAAUCUGUGAGGGGCCUAAAAUACUGUAAUUCAACCAAAUGACUAUCAACUCAUUGUAACUUAUUGUAGGUCUAUUUAUAGAGGAACUUAUUCAGUUGUUUAGUGUUAACAUUUUUUUAUAAGACAUUGGCCUAUAACACAGAGUUGGAAGCAGACGUUCAGCAAUGACUCUAGUAUAGACUUCUAGUGUAACAAAGAUGGUUCUGUGCAUAUUUAAAAGCCUAGAUGUAUUGAGUUUCAGUGGGUUUUAGAAUGGCUUUACUUUUCCCCAGUGCAAAUGUCAGUGUUCCAUUAGGCCUUGUGGUUUCCUAUGUCCUGAUUCUGGCAUUGGACAGAAUAAUCCUCAUAGUAUCCUCAUCCUCAUAUUCAAUCUCAAUUCCACAUGAUAUGGAAUUAAAUGCAACUGUGGAUUGAUUAUGUCACAAUCAAUAGAAGAGUCUUUGGUUACUACGGCGUUGUUAACCUAGAUGAACUGUUAGUCAUGCGGUCGUGAUUAUGACUCAAUAUGUCAGAACACUGAGAAACACCACUGCUGUUCUGUCCAUAGAAAUAGAAUCAUGUUCUAGUUCUCUGGUUCCGUCAUUCAGCCACAAGACAGAAAGUUGCCUGAAGGCUGUGGAUCAUUGUAUUGUUGACCCAGACGGAGUGUACUUCACAAGGAUUGUCUUUUUCUGAGAAAGCUAACCAUGGAUAACUCUCCUGAAGGUAAGCACUGACUGGACUGAUGUAAAGGUUGAAAAAUGCUGGCAACUUUCCCAAAACUACCAAUGGAGCAAGAUUUGACUUCAUUUCUACAGUCCAAUAGUCAUGGUGUGCUGAAUGUGCCAUUGCUGAACCAAGGCGGUGUCCUCUAAUCUUCCUCGCGUUCUUUGUUUUAGUGAACCAGGAGCAGGGAGACAUACCAAUAAUCCCAUUGGUCCAUGAGCCCAUGUCAGGGUAAGGGUUUUCUACAUAACACAAUGUAACAUCUGCACAUAGGUGCAAUCCUAAUGAAAUGAGAAUUGGGUGAGAAAGAAUCCUAAAGAUGGUCCAAUGGACAUGGUGAGGUCUCUUUAUCUCAAAGUCAUGUUUAACUUCCUGAUGACUGCUAGGGAUGAGAUGCAGAGAGCCCAGAAUCAGGUGAACAACUUGCAGCAGUCAAUGAACCACAUGCAUGAGCAGCUGAAUUCCAUGGGGAGGCAGUUUACUGAGUUGCAGAGUGCCCUCUCUCAGGUAGUAGAUUAGUCUCCGCAAGAGUAGAAUGAGUCAUGUGUAGUCAUGAUGUUAUGAAGAUUGAUGAUGAUGAUGGCUGGGAUUGUGAUGAUGUUGAUGAUGAGGACUGGAAUGGUAAUGGUAAUGAUGUCUUUGUAACUCCUAUACUCCACCUGUACUGGAUAGCUCCUUGAUGACAACAUGCCUAUGGCACCUGAAGCGGAGGGGAUCCAACUGAAGAACGUCACCCCUGCACAGUGGGACAGAAUCCUCCCGAUAGGAAUCAUCCAGAGGGAGGAUCCCAACCAGAACCAAUCAUUCCAACAAUACGUCAUCCCAAUCAAAAACAAUGGAAUGGAACAGAUGGAAUAUCAUGGACCACCUCCACCUCCCAUCAUCCCCAUGGUGGGAUCCUGGGACACUGGAGUGAAUGCUCCACGUUGUGGAGAUUUCUAUGCCAGGAGAAAAGAUAUCCGGAGUAGAUAUGUGGCGGAUCCUGCUUUAAUGACCAUCACCAAGCCAGAACACUUCGAGGCCAACCCUCAGAGCCAGGCUGGCAGUUGGCCGGUGGCUAAACCUCAGCACCCAGCACCCCCAGUACAGAAAACACGAAACAGUGGAGGCUGGCUCAGGUGGUUCUUCGGAGAAAAGGAAGAAGUUCUUCAGAUGACAAGGAUACCAGAUGACAAGCCUAAUUCUAUUGUCUGGGAUCAAAACCUGCACAGAUGGGUUGACGCAAGUCCCAUGCCCAAGACUGAGAACAAGCCUGUUCCACCUCCUCCCCCGAUGGGGAUGUAUCUGGAGAACUCUAGUCUCCCCAAAGGAGUGAAUCCUUACUCCAUGAAAGCAGCAGAUCAAGGAAGCCUAGGGGACAGGUAUCCCAAGCUAUUGUACCAUGGUGGGAUCACUACAACACCUCCAUACCAGGGUCCUGGAUCGCUCCCUGCCCAGCAUGCAACACUCAUGGCACCGAUGACUGUGCCAUUCGAUGUUGACAGGCAGAAACUUGGCCCAGGCACUCUACCCUUUUGAGAAUCGACACUGAACAAUCCUUCUGCAACGAUUUAUUUAAUUAGCUUUAAUAUACAGCAACACUUGGCUGAAGUUUCAGUGAUUUUUAAGCUAUUUAUUUUUGUCUCACAGGUCGUUUUCCAGGAGGGAUCAUUUGAUAUUUCAGCAUUUUAAAAGACAAAAUAAAAUAAGAUUUCGGGCUUUGAAAAGUUAUUAAAAAUCUGUAUGUUCACGUAGCUUUGAUAUGUUUUCUGGCAUCCUUUACAAGCCCAUCGCUUGUGCACAUUUCUCUAUGUUACAUACUUUACAGAUGGGUAUAUUAUUUAUACAUAUGUUUUUCAAAAUAUAUUCAAAAAAGAAUUAAUCUAUUUCAUAAACAUAAUAUCAAAUGUAAAUAAAGUGCAUUUUAAAUUGUACACCAUAUAUUUCAAUAUAUGACUUUACUGCAGGCCUAGCGUUGUGGGUGGGCCUUAGGGAGCCAUGCUCGCCCUACCGCACCUCCUAGCCUGUCCAAAUAAAAUACAUGGUUGAAUGAAACUUUGCAAGACUUAUAUUUUUUUGUUGUUGUUGCUAUAACACUAAUGUAUGAUAUUUGUCCAUUUAAAGUUUUA
ensembl:lncRNA